UGACGUGCGUGGGAGGGGGCGGGGCGGGCCCGCUUACAGAGGCCGGGCGAGCGCGUCUCGAUUGGGGGUUCCCCAAAGCUUCUGGCCACAGCCCGGGAGUCUGCGUGCUCUGGAGUUAACCUCCUCCCGCCCCAAACUUGGGCCCCUGAGUUAGGGUGCGAGAAGCCGGGCGCGGGCCUGAGGGAGGUAUUUGGGGUCCUCAGUUUGGGGAGGUUGGAAAGAAGAUAGAAGAAAAAACUGGAAGACCGACGUUUCUCCUGGUCUCUGCAGAGGGGGCCAUGCCUUCCUGCAGAGGACUAGAAAAACCCAGGUGCCCUUAUCCAGGUGAGGAGCACGGAGACCUUAACAGAAAACCGCCAAGCAGACCGAAGCAGUGACUCAACGUUCCCAUUCCCAGCUUUGGGGGUCAGAUCCGGAACCCUGCCCGCCCCCCACCCUUCCUCUUCACUUAAGGACAUGCCCCAGACUCUAGAGAGAACAUAUAUGCCUCUGGUGCUGAAACUAUCGGGGAAUAUGAAAGUUAAUAAGCUACAUGUUCACAGAGAGUUUGCUACACUAAACCAGUUUCAAAGGCAGAGCUGCAAGGAGGCAUAAAGAAUGAGGCGCCCUCUGAGUCUAGGGAGUCGGUACUUCUCGCAUAGCCACCCAGACCGACCCUGCAGCUCCCACGAGCUCACAAAGGUGUGAAUAUUCAGCCAAUCUCUUAUUUGCUUUAGUGUGUUAAAUAAAGGCUUUGGCAUCUUCCAUUGAGUAAAACGCAAUGUUCUGCUUUUGUACCCCUGGAUGGCGGGUAAAGCCACACCUGCAAAAAGAAGUCUGGUUUUCUGUAAAAAUACAAAUGACCACAAUUCGGUUGUCUCCUGCUUGCCUGAGGUGCAAGUUAGUAACCCAGAAAAUGUAAAACAAGAAGCCUCAUAGAACUUGCAACAAAUUUUUUUUAAAAAAGAAAAAAAAGUCACCGUGUGAGAUGAUCUGUAAAUGUGUUACAGAGGCCAGAGUAGCUCCCAGAUUUCAUCAGUGAAAUAAGUCAUCUGUACCUUCAGUGUCACAUGCCUAGUUGAUGCUGUCAUAAAGGAAGGGUGGGGUCCAUAAAGAAUCUAGAACCAGCAGAAUCUGAAUAAGAAUGUGUUGUGGGCUUCCACUCUGUCCAGGAGAGAGGCUACUGAUUCUAAUGACCAGGAUCAAUACCUAUUAUCAGGACAGAGCACCUUGGAAAGCAGAGAAGACUAUGGAAACACCCCUCCCUCAUUCCCAUGUAGUCGUGCUAUCUUCAGAAGGGGUUACUUGGAUCCCCUGGUCUAUCAGUUCAAGCCUCAAACCAUGAAGAAGUUUUGCUACUUAAAUGCAAGUUUCUCCUGCCCAUCUAGACCUAAGACAUGCUUGGCUCUUCUUAACUCUGAUAUUGGAUCUAGACUAGUAAUCAACUCACAGAGUGGCUGAGAGAUUCACAGCAGCACCCUUUUUUUUUUAAUUGUUUUCAAAUGUAAAAAUAAUAUGUAAUAUUGGGAGUAUUCAUAACAUUUAGCAGAAUAAAGAAAAGGGGCGCCUGGGUGGCUCAGUCAGUUAAGCAUCUGACUUCAGCUCAGGUCAUGA